GACGAACGCUGGCGGCGUGCUUAACACAUGCAAGUCGAACGGAAAGGCCCUGCUUUUGUGGGGUGCUCGAGUGGCGAACGGGUGAGUAACACGUGAGUAACCUGCCCUUGACUUUGGGAUAACUUCAGGAAACUGGGGCUAAUACCGGAUAGGAACUCCUGCUGCAUGGUGGGGGUUGGAAAGUUUCGGCGGUUGGGUAUGGACUCGCGGCUUAUCAGCUUGUUGGUGGGGUAGUGGCUUACCAAGGCUUUGACGGGUAGCCGGCCUGAGAGGGUGACCGGCCACAUUGGGACUGAGAUACGGACCAGACGGCUACGGGAGGCAGCAGUGGGGAAUAUUGCACAAUGGGCGGAAGCAUGAUGAAGAAACGCCGCGUGCGGGAUGACGGCCUUCGGGUUGUAAACCGAUUUCGCCUGUGACGAAGCGUGAGUGACGGUAAUGGGUAAAGAAGCACCGGCUAACUACGUG
rnacentral:rRNA from 1 species